AGCCCUUGGAAAAAAUUAAAUCAAGGGUGAAGCCUGCCCAGUGGAAUCAACUUAACGGCUGCAGUAUCCUGACUGUACUAAGGUAGCAUAAUCAUUUGGCCCUUAAUUAGGGUCUGGUAUGAAUGGCUAAACAGGGAUCAGCUGUCUCAGCAGACAAUACUAAAAUUUAUCUUUAAUGGUGAAGAGACCUUAAUAAACUAGAAGGACGAGAAGACCCCAGGAGCUUGGCUUAAUCUUAAUUGGUGAUCAAUAAAGAGUUGUUUAAUUGGGGCGAUUAGGGGACCUAAGAAGCUCCCUUGUUUAGUUUUUAUAGAAAAUGAACCCUUCAAAUUUUUUGAUAGGGUCUUAUGGUGCGUUUAAGUUACCCUGGGGAUAACAGCAUAAUCUAGGUUAAGAGAUCACAUCUAAACCUAAGCUUAUGACCUCGAUGUUGGACUAGGAGGGCUCUCUUUUGACGCAGGUGUCGGUGAAGCUAGUCUGUUCGACUAUUAAAAUCCU
rnacentral:rRNA from 1 species